UACGUAGGCAGCGAGCGUUGUUCGGAAUUACUGGGCGUAAAGAGUGUGUAGGCGGUGCUCUAAGUUCGGUGUGAAAUCUCCCGGCUUAACUGGGAGGGUGCGCCGGAAACUGGAGUGCUCGAGCGUGGGAGAGGAAAGCGGAAUUCCUGGUGUAGCGGUGAAAUGCGUAGAUAUCAGGAGGAACACCUGCGGUGUAGACGGCUAUCUGGACGGUUACUGACGCUGAGACACGAAAGCGUGGGUAGCAAACAGG
rnacentral:rRNA from 1 species